rnacentral:rRNA from 1 species
GACGAACGCCGGCGGCGUGCUUAACACAUGCAAGUCGAACGGAAAGGCCCUGCUUUUGUGGGGUGCUCGAGUGGCGAACGGGUGAGUAACACGUGAGUAACCUGCCCUUGACUUUGGGAUAACUUCAGGAAACUGGGGCUAAUACCGGAUAGGAGCUCCUGCUGCAUGGUGGGGGUUGGAAAGUUUCGGCGGUUGGGGAUGGACUCGCGGCUUAUCGGCUUGUUGGUGGGGUAGUGGCUUACCAAGGCUUUGACGGGUAGCCGGCCUGAGAGGGUGACCGGCCACAUUGGGACUGAGAUACGGCCCAGACUCCUACGGGAGGCAGCAGUGGGGAAUAUUGCACAAUGGGCGGAAGCCUGAUGCAGCAACGCCGCGUGCGGGAUGACGGCCUUCGGGUUGUAAACCGCUUUCGCCUGUGACGAAGCGUGAGUGACGGUAAUGGGUAAAGAAGCACCGGCUAACUACGUG